CCUCAAAAUAGCGAAUAUAAAUAAAUAAACGCAACAACAUAACAUUGAGGUUAGUUUGUGAAAACUGAUCUAACAAACGGUCCCUGAAAGCAUCACUCUAUUAUAACGACCUAUUCCUUUUCUUCUUCGGUUUUUUUUUUUUUGAAAAACACCAUAAACUGGAAUGAAGAUAUGCACAAAGAAGAAAAUGGCACUGAUAUAAUAGAUAAUAUCGAUUUAAUAAUAUUUAACGUUUAAUUAUAACGAGUAAGGUUUGACCUGAGAACUUCCGGAGCGGUCAGUUCCUUAGUAACAAGGACAGUAGCCUAACGGUUUGUCUGCAGUUAUGUUUUUCUGCUUAAACUAGUUAAAUAACUAAUAAAACCGGAAAAUACGCAGGAGAAAAAAGCAAGCACGGCAGAUAAAAUGGCUUCCGAUAAAGAAAUGGUCUUAUAUUUGAAACAAAUUCGAUAUCUAGAGGAGCAGCUGGACAGCUGUCGGCCUAAACAAGAGCAGAUGGAGAAAGAAUACCAGGAGCUCGCCUCUGAAUUCGCCGUGCUGCAGGAGGACUCAAAAAUCCAGACUGGUCACCUGAAACGUGUGCUGACUGCAAAAGAAAAGAGGGUGACUGAGUUGUUGAAACAGCAGAAGAAUGAGCAUCAGGAAGCCGAACGCUACAGAGACAACCUGAUGCUGCAGCACAGCAAGGAGAUGCAGGAGAUGCAGGAGCGGAUUGAAAAGCUUAAGUCAGAGAACAAGAUAGAGGCGGAAAAGUUGGAGCAGCAGAAGAAGGACCUGAUUUCAGUGAAGUGGCGUCUGUCUGCCAUGGAGUCUCUGUGGAAGCAGCUGGAAAAACAGAAGCAAGAGCAUGAAAUUGCCACCGAAACAGUGAAGGUGGCAGCGCAGAUGGAGAUGGACAGGAAAGUUGAGAGACUGCAGAGCAUCGUGGAGCCUACUGUAAAGCUGAAGACUAAAGAAAUACUUACGAAAAACAGGGCUGAGCACGAGGAGCGGCUGGAGCAGCUCCACUUUUUCAAGAGUGAGCUGGUGCCCCUGCAGGAGGACGUAGACGCCAUGCAAGCCAGACAGAGGGAUCUUUGUUCUGAACAAGAUGAUCUGGAGAAAGAUUUCAUUAAGAUUAUUCAGCAGAAAUCCAUCCUCAAGAAGAACGUAGAUGAGCUAACUGAGCAGUGCCAGCAGUUGACAACAGAGCUGAAGGACUGUACAUUGGCUAAGCUGCGCACACUGGCUAAAAUCAAGGCUCUCGGCCAGACUCUGUCGUUAGUGCACGAGGAGUGUCGUCAAAAGUCAGCCAGGGUAACUUCACUCUCAGACCAGAUCCAGAACGUGAGGUGCAAGAAUUUGAAGCUGGAGGGUGUCAAGCAGGAAGCAGCCAUCAUUCUCGGACACAUCCUGUCGGAUGCAGAGAAGUUGUCUGAGAAUCAGUGGAAGGUGCAGAGGCUGCUGGAGAUCCUGGAGAGCACCGCUGUGCUCUGA
ensembl:lncRNA